rnacentral:rRNA from 1 species
UACGGAGGGAGCUAGCGUUGUUCGGAAUUACUGGGCGUAAAGCGCACGUAGGCGGCUUUGUAAGUUAGAGGUGAAAGCCCGGGGCUCAACUCCGGAACUGCCUUUAAAACUGCAUCGCUUGAAUCCAGGAGAGGUGAGUGGAAUUCCGAGUGUAGAGGUGAAAUUCGUAGAUAUUCGGAAGAACACCAGUGGCGAAGGCGGCUCACUGGACUGGUAUUGACGCUGAGGUGCGAAAGCGUGGGGGAGCAAACAGG